rnacentral:rRNA from 1 species
CUACGGGGGGCACCAGUGAGGAAUAUUGCACAAUGGGGGGAACCCUGAUGCAGCAACGCCGCGUGGAGGAUGACGCAUUUCGGUGUGUAAACUCCUUUUAUAUGUCAAGAAAAUGACGGUAGCAUAUGAAUAAGCACCGGCUAACUCCGUGCCAGCAGCCGCGGUAAUACGGAGGGUGCAAGCGUUACUCGGAAUCACUGGGCGUAAAGGACGCGUAGGCGAGUUGGAAAGUCAGGUGUGAAAUCCUACAGCUUAACUGUAGAACUGCACUUGAAACUUCUAAUCUAGAGUAUGGGAGGGGGAGAUGGAAUUAGUGGUGUAGGGGUAAAAUCCGUAGAUAUCACUAGGAAUACCUAAAGCGAAGGCGAUCUCCUGGAACAUUACUGACGCUAAGGCGCGAAAGCGUGGGGAGCAAACAGGAUUAGAUACCCCAGUAGUC